rnacentral:rRNA from 1 species
CCUACGGGGGGCAGCAGUGGGGAAUAUUGGACAAUGGGGGCAACCCUGAUCCAGCCAUGCCGCGUGUGUGAAGAAGGCCCUCGGGUUGUAAAGCACUUUCAGUGAGGAAGAACGCCUGGUGGUUAAUACCCAUCAGGAAAGACAUCACUCACAGAAGAAGCACCGGCUAACUCCGUGCCAGCAGCCGCGGUAAUACGGAGGGUGCGAGCGUUAAUCGGAAUUACUGGGCGUAAAGCGCGCGUAGGUGGCUUGAUAAGCCGGUUGUGAAAGCCCCGGGCUCAACCUGGGAACGGCAUCCGGAACUGUCAAGCUAGAGUGCAGGAGAGGAAGGUGGAAUUCCCGGUGUAGCGGUGAAAUGCGUAGAGAUCGGGAGGAAUACCAGUGGCGAAGGCGGCCUUCUGGACUGACACUGACACUGAGGUGCGAAAGCGUGGGUAGCAAACAGGAUUAGAUACCCUUGUAGUC